GAUGAACGCUGGCGGCGUGCCUAAUACAUGCAAGUCGAGCGAACGGACGAGAAGCUUGCUUCUCUGAUGUUAGCGGCGGACGGGUGAGUAACACGUGGAUAACCUACCUAUAAGACUGGGAUAACUUCGGGAAACCGGAGCUAAUACCGGAUAAUAUUUUGAACCGCAUGGUUCAAAAGUGAAAGACGGUCUUGCUGUCACUUAUAGAUGGAUCCGCGCUGCAUUAGCUAGUUGGUAAGGUAACGGCUUACCAAGGCAACGAUGCAUAGCCGACCUGAGAGAGUGAUCGGCCACACUGGAACUGAGACACGGUCCAGACUCCUACGGGAGGCAGCAGUAGGGAAUCUUCCGCAAAGGGCGAAAGCCUGACGGAGCAACGCCGCGUGAGUGAUGAAGGUCUUCGGAUCGUAAAACUCUGUUAUUAGGGAAGAACAUAUGUGUAAGUAACUGUGCACAUCUUGACGGUACCUAAUCAGAAAGCCGCGGCUAACUACGUG
rnacentral:rRNA from 1 species